AAACAAACCUAAAAUAGCAUCAAGUAACCUACUUUCUACUUUUGGAAUCGCCCAAGAGCCAAAGGUGAAGACCUGACUUUCAUAAAAUAAACAUGUUUUAUUUGUAGGUACAUGGUUGUGUACUUUACAAAGUGAACAGCCAGCUCUACGCAGCGGUCCAGGUAUCGACAGUGGGAAACUGUCGGAAACAGCAUGAGAAUGCUCCAUUUUUACUGAUAUUCCUGAAUCUUCUUGCCUCUCUGGACAUAAAGUGGACCAAGUGGUACUGACUCAGUGAAGGCUCUUGGCUACUGCUGUUUGUAUGGAAGCCACAUCUCUAUAGCCUGUUAAGUCAGGGAAGCAGGAAAGGGCUGCUGACAGGAAUGGACUGGGCUGUUUUCUCAAAAAAAAAAAAAAAAAAUUACUUGGCCUUGACUUCAGGAAUACCUCCAUCCUUGUGGAAGACUCCUUAAUUUUUCCUAAGAGGUGAUAACCUUAGCCCACCUGCCUGUUCAAGACGAUGAAUUGAAUUUGGCAACACAGAAGAGCUACAGUCUAGGAGUCCAGGUUCUUUGUUGUUGUUAUUGUUGUUGAAGUAGGCUCCAUACCCAACAUGGGGCUAGAAUUAACGACCCUGAGAUCAAGAGUCCGACGUUCUACCAGUAGAGCCAGCCAGGCACCACUACAGUCUAGGUCCUUGUCAGAGAUUAGAACCUCAAAUUGCCGGCAGUCCAAAUCUCAUCAAAUAUUUGGUUGUGAGAAAUAAUACAUACAAAGGACGAUACAUGUAAUUGUAUCUAUACCUCUUUCUGGAUAUGCCAUAAUGGCUCUGGCCAAAGUCAGAACAGAAGAGAAGUAUAAACUUGAAUAACACCAUUUUGGACAAAUUAUACUCUAAUCUUGUUCCUCAGGCUUACAUUAUAUGGAAUAUUGACACGAAAUGUGGCAUCUAUCUUUAGUCAAGAAAGGCUGGUGAAAACUGUCAUUACAUCUGGGCCCUAUUCGAAAAGUUUUUCCUAGGUCAUCCUGCCUUGCCUGUGGGCUUUAUCUAUUUAUUUUUAAACUUAUCUUGAUAUAAUUUCAAACUUACAAAAAAUAUUUGCCAGAACAGUACAAGGAAUCCCUACAUAACCAUGAUGAAAAUUCACCAACUGUUUACAUUUUGCUUCAUUUGCUUUAGUAUUCUUUCGUGUUUUUAUAUAUGUGCAUACUCUUCCUGAGAAUAAGUUGGAGACAUCACCCUCCUACCCCUAAAUCCUUCAGGGUGCACCUCCUAAGGAAAAAAAAACGCACCCUUUUCUAUAACCACAGUACAAUUAUCAAGAUCACAAACUUUAUGAUAAAAACACUAUUAUCUAAUUUGCCCUUUAUUCAA